rnacentral:sRNA from 1 species
GCUGGAUGCUGUGGUGCACACCUGUAAUCCCAGGCACUCAGGAAGCUGAGGCAGGAGAAUCACAAAUUCUAUGCCAUCUUGGACAACUUGUUGAGACCCUGUCUCAA